UUGUCCAUAUUGCAUCAGAUAACAUCCAAUAUGCUGUUCAUCACACAUUUAUUUGUCCAUCUUGUUUAUUUUUGGAAUUUAACUGUCCUUAUGUUACACGCUACAAUAACAGCACAUGCUGUGGUGUGCACAUGUGCUACAUUGGGGUCCUGUCUGCUGUUAAACUCACCCCCAGAGAAACGCUGCGUUACAAAGUGACUUACGCAUACAGUAAAAA